GCCACAUCACGUUGAAACACCGGUUACCGUACGAUCACUAAAGUUAAGCAACGUUGAGCCUGGUCAGUACGUAGAUGGGUGACCGCUUGGGAAUACCAGGCUUUGUA
rnacentral:rRNA from 1 species